CUCUCUCUCUUUCUUUCCCUCCCUCCCUCCCUUCCUCUCUUUCCUUCCUUCCUUUCCUUCCUUCCUUCUUUCCCUCCCUCCCAUUUCUUUUUUUCCUUCCUUCCUUCCUUCCUUCCUUUCUUUCUUUCUUUCUUUCUUUCUUUCUUUCUUUCUUUCUUUCUUUCUUUCUUUCUUUCUUUCUAUCUUUCUUUCUUUCUUUCUUUUUCUUUCUUUCUUUCUUUUUCUCUCUCUCUUCCUUCCUUCCUUCCUUCCUUCUUUCCUUUCUUCUUUUCUUUUCUUCUCUCCCUCCCUUCCCCUCUCUCUUCCCUUCCCUUCCUUCUCUCUCCCCUUCCCUUCCCUCUCUCUCCCCUUCCCUCUCCCUCUCCCUCUCCCUUCCCUUCCCUUUCUUUCUUGACAGGGUCUCACUCCAUCACCCAGGCUGGAAUGCAGUGGCUCAAUCAACACACCACAGCCUCGGCCUCCCUGGGCUCAGAUUGGCCUGCAUCAGCCCAAAUGGUUCCAUGUUCUUCUUUUUAAUGGCUGCAUAGUACUCCUUUGCAUGGAUGCACCACAGUUCAUUUAACCAGAGUCCUGUUGGCAGGCAUUUCAGAUGUUUGCAAUUUUUCUGUGAGACCAACACCACUGUGAUCAGCAUCCUGAAAGUCACAAAUCACUACAUAAGGACCUGCUGUAACCAGUCUGACCUCAUCUUGAUUACAGCUGCAAAGACCCUAUUUCCAAAUAGAGCCACAUUCUGAGGAUCCAGGGUGACAAAUUUUGGGAGGAUAAUAUUCCAUCUGGCACAGAAGGGAAAAGGGAAGUUUUUGUCUGAAGAAGGGGCUUGUCUGGAGUUGCUGGAGAGCCAGUGGGAUUGCAUCUUUUGCAGAGGACAGGUCCUUAAGGGCAAAAUCGCUUAAGAGUCAAAAUGGCCUUGAAAAUUCCUUGGGAAGCCGUCAUGUUGGAGCCAACCACUAUUUCUCAAUAAUUUCAGCACAGCCAGUUUUUCCUCCUGCGUUGGGACGGAUCGCUGUUUCUCCUGUCAAGCUCCAGAUACAGUAAAGUCUUGUGUUUAGGGGCCACACAGUGGAGUGGGACACUCACAGGCAGAGGGAGGAACCAGGUGCUCCUACUCAGAGACACGUGGGACCCAACGGGAGGGUUUGGCUUGGAAGAGACACCUUCAAAGUGAGUGGUGUGGGGAUUUCCCCAUCAUAUAAUGUCCCCUUUGGGGUGUGAGGGGCAAAUGUGUUUAGUUAAGUGGAUCUUAACUCAGUUAAAUUAAAUUCAUGUAUGAUGUGAGACCAGCGUGGAAAGGUCUUACCUCUUGAUUAACCAAUUGUUCUUCCCCAGUCACUCCAUUGCUCCUCUUUGAGCCAUCCAAAAAGUCACCUCAUCUUUCCAGACCUCAGGGUCCUCAUCUGUAAAUUGGGGGGCAUGUGGACUUGGACAGAAUGGGCCCUCUCUGUCACUUGGAGAGUCUGGGAUUGUAAGCUGCCCUCCGGGAGAUCAAAACACCACACGAUGCAGGUGGCACUGGACAGACGCGGGACACAGGGGCUCUGCUAAGGUCCCUGGUGCUACAGAAGAGGACGGUGAUCACCAGGCCCAGGAAGGAGGGUUGCUGGGAAUGAAGAUCGCAGCCACGCUGCACGAUGCAAGGCUAAGGUGCACGCAGUGCGCUGUGGCUUCAGGUCCCGAAAGCACAGGCCUGGGACAGCUUUUCCAGAUGGCAAGUCUGCUUUCUCCCAGCCCCAACAUGCCUUUCUGAAAUGUAAAGCAGCCCAGUCCUGGCCUCAGAAUGCUGGGGUGAACAACUGGAGAACGGGGUUCCAGCCACUGCAGAUGAAUCCAGAGGCACUAGAAACACAGAGAGAGCAAGAAGGAAAGGGAGGGGACACGAGG
rnacentral:lncRNA from 1 species